ACUCCUAGCUUGACUAUUGGACUAAUCUAUACAAACAUAGAAGCAACACUGUUAAUAUGAGUAACAAGAAAUUUUUCUCCUCGCACAAGCUUAUUUCAGUAGCUGAUAGUAUACUGAUAGUUAACAACUAAUAAAUAAAACCCAACACUAAACUAUUUAUUAAUAUACUGUUAACCCAACACAGGUGUGCAUUAAGGAAAGAUUAAAAAAAGUAAAAGGAACUCGGCAAAUAUAAACCCCGCCUGUUUACCAAAAACAUCACCUCUAGCAUAACUAGUAUUAGAGGCACUGCCUGCCCAGUGACAAUAGUUAAACGGCCGCGGUAUCCUGACCGUGCAAAGGUAGCAUAAUCAUUUGUUCUUUAAAUAAGGACUUGUAUGAAUGGCCACACGAGGGUUUUACUGUCUCUUACUUUUAAUCAGUGAAAUUGACCUCCCCGUGAAAAGGCGGGGAUAAUAAAAUAAGACGAGAAGACCCUAUGGAGCUUUAAUUAACCAACCCAAAAAAUCUUAAAUCUUAACCACCAAGGAAUAACAAAACUUUAUAUGGGUUGACAAUUUCGGUUGGGGUGACCUCGGAGUAUAAAAAAACCUCCGAAUGAUUAAAACUUAGGCCUACCAGCCAAAGUAUCAUAUCACUUAUUGAUCCAAAAUUUUUUGAUCAACGGAACAAGUUACCCUAGGGAUAACAGCGCAAUCCUAUUCUAGAGUCCAUAUAGACAAUAGGGUUUACGACCUCGAUGUUGGAUCAGGACAUCCUAAUGGUGUAGCCGCU
rnacentral:rRNA from 1 species